CCUACGGGAGGCAGCAGUGGGGAAUAUUGCACAAUGGGGGAAACCCUGAUGCAGCAACGCCGCGUGAGUGAAGAAGUCAUUCGUGAUGUAAAGCUCUAUCAGCAGGGAAGAAAAUGACGGUACCUGACUAAGAAGCCCCGGCUAACUACGUGCCAGCAGCCGCGGUACUACGUAGGGGGCCAGCGUUAUCCGGAUUUACUGGGUGUAAAGGGAGCGUAGACGGCGACGCAAGUCUGAAGUGAAAUGCCAGGGCUCAACACUGGAACUGCUUUGGAAACUGUGUGGCUAGAGUGCAGGAGAGGUAAGUGGAAUUCCUAGUGUAGCGGUGAAAUGCGUAGAUAUUAGGAGGAACGCCAGUGGCGAAGGCGGCUUACUGGACUGUAACUGACGUUGAGGCUCGAAGGCGUGGGGAGCAAACAGGAUUAGAUACCCUAGUAGUC
rnacentral:rRNA from 1 species